rnacentral:rRNA from 1 species
UUGAUCCUGCCGGAGGUCACUGCUAUUGGGAUUCGACUAAGCCAUGCGAGUCGCGAGGGUUCGGCCCUCGGCUGACGGCUCAGUAACACGCGGAUAAUCUGCCCUUAGGUGGAGGAUAACCUCGGGAAACUGAGAAUAACACUCCAUAGAUCUAGGAGGCUGGAAUGCACUUAGAUCAAAAACUUCGGUGCCUAAGGAUGAGUCUGCGGACUAUCAGGUAGUAGUCAGGGUAAUGACCUGACCAGCCUACGACGGAUACGGGUUGUGAGAGCAAUAACCCGGAGAUGAUAUCUGAGACACGAUAUCAGGCCCUACGGGGCGCAGCAGGCGCGAAAACUUCACACUGUGCGAAAGCACGAUGAGGGAAUCCCAAGUGCUGACUCGUAAGAGUCAGCUGUUUUUCUGUCUAGAAAACAGAGAGAGUAAGGGCUGGGUAAGACGGGUGCCAGCCGCCGCGGUAAUACCUGCAGCCCGAGUGGUGGCCGCUAUUAUUGGGCCUAAAACGUCCGUAGCCGGUCUAGUAAAUGCCUGGGUAAAUCGUACGGCUUAACCGUACGAAUUCCGGGUAGACUGCUGGACUUGGGACUGGGAGAGGCUAGAGGUACUCCUGGGGUAGAGGUGAAAUUCUGUAAUCCUAGGGGGACGACCAGUGGCGAAGGCGUCUAGCUAGAACAGGUCUGACGGUGAGGGACGAAGCCCUGGGGCGCAAACCGGAUUAGAUACCCGGGUAGUCCCAGCUGUAAACGAUGCGCGUUAGGUGUAUCGGUGACUACGAGUCACCGAGGUGCCGAAGGGAAACCGUGAAACGUGCCGCCUGGGAAGUACGGUCGCAAGGCUGAAACUUAAAGGAAUUGGCGGGGGAGCACCACAACGGGUGGAGCCUGCGGUUUAAUUGGAUUCAACGCCGG